rnacentral:rRNA from 1 species
GAUGAACGCUGGCGGCGUGCUUAACACAUGCAAGUCGAACGAGAAGUGAAGACGGAAACCUUCGGGCGGAAGGCUUUAUUUCGAGUGGCGGACGGGUGAGUAACGCGUGGGUAACCUGCCUCAUACAGGGGGAUAACAGUUGGAAACGACUGUUAAUACCGCAUAAGACCACAGCACCGCAUGGUGCGGGGGUAAAAACUCCGGUGGUAUGAGAUGGACCCGCGUUCGAUUAGCCAGUUGGCGGGGUAACGGCCCACCAAAGCGACGAUCGAUAGCCGAUCUGAGAGGAUGACCGGCCACAUUGGGACUGAGACACGGCCCAAACUCCUACGGGAGGCAGCAGUGGGGAAUAUUGCACAAUGGGGGAAACCCUGAUGCAGCGACGCCGCGUGAGUGAAGAAGUAUUUCGGCAUGUAAAGCUCUAUCAGCAGGGAAGAAAAUGACGGUACCUGAGGAAGAAGCCCCGGCUAACUACGUG